UCAGUAUGUCUCUGUGCAUGAAAGAGUGAGACAAAUCGUGUAGAUUUCGUUCAUUGCUUUCUAAACAAAGACUAUGCACACGGGAAGAUUUGUUAAGUGGGCCCGGAUGCCUCUUGGGAGCAGGAAGGAGGUGGUUGCUAAGUCUUUAAAGAGGACACACACAGUCAACUUUCUCCUCCAGGGAGCUAAAGAUCGGAGCACACAGCAGGCCACAAACAUGAUCCUCCUUCUUCUCCAGUUCAGAAAGAUUUCAGAUUCAAUAGAGAGUAAAGAAGGAUCUCUGCCGAGACCACAGAGGGCUUUCUCGGCUGCAGGUUCUGCCAGCCAAGCUUUCCUUUUUCAUUGAGGUGGCGCAAAUCUCACUGCCUGCUGGCCUUUGAGAAGUUGUUAGAAGGGCACCUGAAGUAAAAAUCCUGCCGUCUACCACAUCACUGAGAAGGACGCUACUAUCUGUUCUCACUCCACCCCAUCCCAGGCCACAGUCAUUUGCUUUUUACCUCUCUCAUGCGAAUGGAGCUUUGGGGAGAAAACACGGAACAGCAGGAAAGAUGCAUUUUCUUGAGCAUGCCUUUUAGCCCUCAGAAACCUGUCCAAAU